GAAUUCGCCCUUAGAGUUUGAUCCUGGCUCAGGAUGAACGCUGGCGGCGUGCCUAACACAUGCAAGUCGAACGGAACUACUUGGAUUGAGGCUUCGGCCAAAUGAAAUUUAGUUUAGUGGCGGACGGGUGAGUAACGCGUGAGCAACCUGCCUUUCAGAGGGGGAUAACGUUCGGAAACGAACGCUAAUACCGCAUGACAUAGCGAAACCGCAUGAUUUUGCUAUCAAAGAUUUUAUCGCUGAAAGAUGGGCUCGCGUCCGAUUAGGUAGUUGGUGAGGUAACGGCCCACCAAGCCGACGAUCGGUAGCCGGACUGAGAGGUUGAACGGCCACAUUGGGACUGAGACACGGCCCAGACUCCUACGGGAGGCAGCAGUGGGGAAUAUUGCACAAUGGGCGCAAGCCUGAUGCAGCAACGCCGCGUGAGGGAAGACGGUUUUCGGAUUGUAAACCUCUGUCUUUGGUGACGAAGAAGUGACGGUAGCCAAGGAGGAAGCCACGGCUAACUACGUGCCAGCAGCCGCGGUAAUACGUAGGUGGCAAGCGUUAUCCGGAAUUACUGGGUGUAAAGGGAGCGCAGGCGGGUCAGCAAGUCAGCGGUGAAAAUUAUGGGCUCAACCCAUAAACUGCCGUUGAAACUGUUGAUCUUGAGUGGAGUAGAGGCAGGCGGAAUUCCGAGUGUAGCGGUGAAAUGCGUAGAUAUUCGGAGGAACACCAGUGGCGAAGGCGAUCUACUGGACGAUAACUGACGCUGAGGCUCGAAAGUGUGGGGAGCAAACAGGAGGAGAUACCCUGGUAGUCCACACUGUAAACG
rnacentral:rRNA from 1 species